CUCUAACAGCCCUCUGAGGAGUGGCCAGUGAAGUUAUCACUAGGCUGUUAAGUAAACACUGCAUUUUCUCUGAAAAGACAGUGUUUACAGCAAAAAGCCUGAAGGUGAUGAUUCUACUCACCAGAAUAAAUUCAAUAAGCUGUAGUUGUUCUGGUGACUAUAGUGUCCCUUUAAAAUAAGGAAGAACCGAGUGGUAGACCGUAAAUUUACUGCUAGUUUUGUAUUAUUUUCUACGUCUAAUAGCAAGUACCGUAAUAAUAGGGAGAACAAGG